rnacentral:rRNA from 1 species
CUACGGGGUGCUGCAGUGAGGAAUAUUGCACAAUGGGGGGAACCCUGAUGCAGCAACGCCGCGUGGAGGAUGACGCAUUUCGGUGUGUAAACUCCUUUUAUAUGUCAAGAAAAUGACGGUAGCAUAUGAAUAAGCACCGGCUAACUCCGUGCCAGCAGCCGCGGUAAUACGGAGGGUGCAAGCGUUACUCGGAAUCACUGGGCGUAAAGGACGCGUAGGCGGGUUGGAAAGUCAGGUGUGAAAUCCUACAGCUUAACUGUAGAACUGCACUUGAAACUUCUAAUCUAGAGUAUGGGAGGGGGAGAUGGAAUUAGUGGUGUAGGGGUAAUAUCCGUAGAUAUCACUAGGAAUACCUAAAGCGAAGGCGAUCUGCUGGAACAUUACUGACGCUAAGGCGUGAAAGCGUGGGGAGCAAACAGGAUUAGAUACCCUCGUAGUC